rnacentral:rRNA from 1 species
AAUUGUCCACUCUUUUGAGAGGAGACAGUUAUGAAACGUGAGUAGAAGGGUCGAGUGUAAAAACCUUGACGUGAAGCAAUUGGAGGGCAAGUUUUGGUGCCAGCAGCCGCGGUAAUUCCAACUCCAAGAGUGUCUAUGGUGGAUGCUGCAGUUAAAGGGUCCGUAGUCGUAGAUGCAAUUAAAAGGUGGCGUUAAAAGCCAUUGAGUUUGUUGAGAGUAGCGGAACGGAUAGGGAGCAUGGUAUAGGUGGGCAAAGAAUGAAAUCUCAAGACCCCACCUGGACCAACGGAGGCGAAAGCGAUGCUCUUAGACGUAUCUGGGGAUCAAGGACGAAGGCUAGAGUAUCGAAAGUGAUUAGACACCGCUGUAGUUCUAGCAGUAAACUAUGCCGACAAUGCUGGGUGUUGCGAGAGCGAUGCUUGGUGUGGGAGAAAUCUUAGUUUUCGGGCUCUGGGGAUAGUACGC